ACGGGGACCCGCACAAGCAGUGGAGUAUGUGGUUUAAUUCGAAGCAACGCGAAGAACCUUACCAGGUCUUGACAUCCCUCUGACCGUCCUAGAGAUAGGGCUUUCCUUCGGGACAGAGGAGACAGGUGGUGCAUGGUUGUCGUCAGCUCGUGUCGUGAGAUGUUGGGUUAAGUCCCGCAACGAGCGCAACCCUUGAUCUUAGUUGCCAGCACUUCGGGUGGGCACUCUAAGGUGACUGCCGGUGACAAACCGGAGGAAGGUGGGGAUGACGUCAAAUCAUCAUGCCCCUUAUGACCUGGGCUACACACGUACUACAAUGGCCGGUACAACGGGCUGUGAAGCCGCGAGGUGGAACGAAUCCUAAAAAGCCGGUCUCAGUUCGGAUUGCAGGCUGCAACUCGCCUGCAUGAAGUCGGAAUUGCUAGUAAUCGCGGAUCAGCAUGCCGCGGUGAAUACGUUCCCGGGUCUUGUACACACCGCCCGUCACACCACGAGAGUUUAUAACACCCGAAGUCGGUGGGGUAACCGCAAGGAG
rnacentral:rRNA from 1 species